CUGACCCGUUUAGAAAAAAAUAACCGGCUACAUAACCGACUCCAACAACUCAUAUAUUUUACCUUGCCUUCUUCACGAAAAUUGAUUGCUGAUUUAUUCUGUUGUCUGCUAAUUACGGCAUUCAUAUCUUCCAUCGUGGAAAGUGCAUGUAAUCAAGGAUGCAUAUUAGACUAUGAAUGUUAUUUUUCAAAAUUCAAACUGAAGUUAUUUGCUUGCUAUGGAAGAGUUCUUGUGUGGGUUCGUAAAGUGAUUUUUGGCAAGCGUCUCAUCGGCUAUGGAAGCAGCCAAUGAUUAAUUGGUCAAGCUCAGAUUUGUACAGAAGAGGCCUGAUCUUGCAAUAGUAUUUACCGGGACUGUACUUUCCACCACCGUGAUUGCGAGGCUCAUGUAUUGUCUUUGAUGUGUAGGUCGUAAGAGAAAUAAAGAAAAUCAGUCAGAUGGUUCACUUGCUGGCAGGAUUUAUUAUUUCUGCAAAGACGCGCUGAAAACAUUAAGAAAUCCAGGACCAUCGGGACUUCGUCAGCGUUUGACAAUAUCAGCUCAGGAAAAAAUGCCACGAGUCGUGUCCCUCUAUCAACUGUUGAUCAUAAUGAAUCCAAUCAAUAUGUAGGCAACAGUCAUUCUCCUCUUUCCAACAGUCGUCGGUAUUCGUUGGUUGCAGAAACCUGUGAAUCAGAUUAUGCUCUUAAAGCCACAGGUCGUGUCUUGCUAUCAACUGUUGACCAGAAUGCAUCAAAUCAAUCAAUCAGGCGUUCUCCGUUGUCCAAUAUUGAUCAAAAUGCAAAUCCUGGCUUUUGUGUUGGAUUCUACCGUCACAGGUCGAUAGCAAUUUAGCUGUGUUAGAUUUCAUUUUAAUUUUCCACCUUUAUAUCAUGGAUAUAAAUUUCUAUAUUUGUUGCUCACCGCGUUGAAAUAUAACUGAUGUUGAAAUUUGGAAUCAGGUGUCAAGCGUAGAGGUCCUGAUAAUAUUUUGCUUACAAUAUGCUCAAGGUUUUCUGUGUACUGGAUGCUACUCAGUGCCAAUCCUCACAACCAACUUUCUUAACGUAUUGUUCUCUCAUCUCCAGACCACACGAUCCUCCCAUCUUCUUUAUAAACAAGUAUAUAAUGUACAGUUUUCUUAAAUUUACCCGAUAUUAUUGAUGGCGUUGAUAAACUAACUAUAACCAGAAAACAGAUUUUUGAUUUAGCUAUGGGUUUUGGCCUUGAAAACCGAUGAUGAAAUUCAUGAUGAUAAUGUAGAACCUGUAGAUUUCUUGACUACUGAUGGGUUGCCUCAAGCAGAAGGAUUAAUCUAUUUUAAGUGUCAUGAUACAACAUAAGGAUAGGUUAGCAAAUAAUAGUUUUAUAACAAAGACACCUGCAAGAUUGUUAAACGAUACGAAGAUUUAGGCCUCAUGCACCCAACAAGACAUCAUAUAAAUCAUUACUGCACAUAUGCAGUGACAAACAGUAUGAACACUGAGAAAGCUCAGAGAUCUAUACCAAGUUGUGCAGCAUUUUAUUGUAAUUCUUUGACACUUGACACCAAACAAAUACUAUACAAGACAAACAGAAACCAAGUCAGCCAUAUAGUGUAUUCUACAAAUUGAAUACAAAAUGCAUGAUCAUUUUCUGCAUAUAGGUCUCCUCUCAGGUGAUAACAUUUGCCGCUGAGUGAAAAGCAGGAGGCGGAACAUUUGAGGAGGUUUCUACUGGUGGUUCAGUACGUCGAAGUUUCCUUUUGCUCUGUCGAGGUUGAGCUUUCAGGCCCAGAUCUGAGCCUGCAGCAGGAUGUUUCCUUACUAUCUUCUGAGGCGGAACUGCACAUGUUUCAGUUGGGUCAGAACCAAUGCCCCUGGAGAAUUUCAAGGUCUCUUCUCUGUUUUACAAUGGGAGUCGAGUUUGGAAUAUUGAGCUCAUAAGAGACAUGUUUGUUGCUCGGGAUCAAGAUUGUAUAAUAAACACAAAGGUACACGAGCAGGGUUCCGAGGAUCGCUUAUACUGGUGCAAGGAGACCUCAGGGGUGUACUCAGUUCGCAGUGCUUAUCGGCUUUUACAAGCUCAGAAAAAUUUAUGGCAAAGUCGUGAUAAUAUUAGUUUUUGGCGAAAGGUCUGGCGGGUUAAAGCUCCACCAAAAGUUCUCAAUCUUAUAUGGAGGGUUCUUUCUAAUAGUCUUCCAACUAAAAGCCAACUGGUCCAAAAAUUUGUGCCAAUUCUUAAUACAUGUCCUUUCUGUAAUACAGAGGAGGAAACAACUAUGCACGUGCUGGUGACUUGCCCUGUAGCUAAGCAAUGCUGGGUGGGUUUGUUACCAGUAAAUCAAGUUAAGAGCAUCUCCAACGGCGUUGGCUAUAAUUGUUGGCUAAAUUGGACCUGUAAGACAUUAUGUAAAAUUUGCUGAACCUGUAAGACAUUUUGCUUCAA